rnacentral:lncRNA from 10 species
CCGCUUCCGUCCUCACGGGGCGCUGGGACCCUCCCUGCUAUCCGGGCUCCCCUGUGCGGUGUAGCAGCCGUCCCCGCCUCGCCUGCCCAGCGCCAGAUGACAGCAGCCCGGAGGCUGUCCUCUGCCACCCGCACUGCUCACCUUCUCCGAGGAGGUCGGGGACGGGGCCGAAGGGUCCCCGGGGCAGGUUCCAGGCCAGCUCCUCCAGCAGGUGUCCCCAGGUGAUCCGUGGUCUUCUCUACCAUCUAGAGUGAGAAGUAUUGGAAAACACAACCAUGCUUACAGUCUGAGGGACAGGAGGAAGACAAGAGAACCCAAGGAACGCACUUCCUGAAUUGAUGGGAGGCCCUGGAUCCAGAGCGCGUGGGACCGCAUCUGGAAGGAAGACAGAGGGAAUGCAGCAUCUAACAAGGGUGGGUAAACUGAGGCUCAGAGAGAUCAGUGGAGUCAUCUGAGAGAAUGUGUUUGAUGCAUGUUCCCUGCUGGGCACUUCCUCUCUCAUCUAAUCCCUGAGGCCAACCCUGUGGGGCAGGCAGACGGAGCCUCGGAGAGAAGUGUCUUCCCGGGCAUCAUUCUCAGCCAUGGCACAAGAUCUGAACCCCUGUCUCCUGGGAGUGUGGAAGCGUUUCUCUGUCUACCAAGAACAAGAAAUUAAUUCUAAUUACACGGAACAGUGUCUGGCCCUAAGAGGGAGACUCAGAAACUCACUGCUCCGGUAAGGGAGUGACAGCAAUGUGAAAAGGUACUUUUCAAAAAAAAAAAAAAAGGUAAAAUCGUGACUCUCGUAAAGAUAUGAAAUUAGCAUAUACUAAAAGUUUUAUUUAAUUCAUUAUUAAUGAGGGGACAAGUAAGAUGGUACAAGCAGUCCAAAGUUUAGAG